AGCUCACGUCGGAACCUGGGUCUCCAGAAGCUGCCGGUCGCUCAGGUCUCUCCGCUUCUGUGGUCGUCUUCCGGUUGAGAUUACUGUUGGCCCAUCCUCUCUGCUCCAGUGCCCUUUAUCUUCUAAGAUGGCUAGAAAAGGCUGUUUGACGAAAAAAAUCAAAACUAGGACCAGGAUGUCAGCAACCACAAACGGCUCCACCUCCGGUCUCGGCUUCCCACCGCGAUGACUCUGGAAUUCUCCUGAACAAUGGUGAUAGUGUCCCUCCAACUUCAUGCCCAUUCCUUCUGCCGCGCAGUGUACCAAGGCCUGCUCCACAAACGAGGACAAAUAAUAUUUAGAACUCGGAGCCAAGCCAUGUAAACUCCGCAGAUAAUGCCAAUGAUAUAGAUUCUGUUGAUCAACAAGUUGAUGACUCAUUUGUUGAAUCUAGAGCUCAGAAUCGCAAAGGACGCAAGACUACAGAGUUUUGGGAAGUCAGGAUAAUCGAUUCCAAUGGCACAAUCAAGCCGGUAAGACUAAGCGUGAAGGAGGCUAUGGAACGGCCAAACGGUAGAAAGAUCGUGCUCAGGUCAACAAUGCAAAGCAAGCAAUUGGAAACGAAGCUGGACUGUUGAGUGGCAUGCUUGGUCUGUUAGGAUCUGACUUUGAAAAAUUUUCUAUCUGUGAGGAAAGUUGGCGUAAGAUUACCACUAAGGACAAAGUUUAUAACAAAUGUGUCAAGCAAAUUUUUCACUUUGAUGAAGAUAGUGAAGGAACUAUCAAGAAAAAUAUUUUGGAAAGUAUGGGGAAGUCUUGGAAGGAAACAAGACUGAGGUUGUAUAAUGCUUAUUUCGAGCCAACGUUCACGACUGAACAAAAUAUUGAGAACCGUCCCUGGGAAUCGAUCGAGAGCAUUGGAGAUGGUUCCUUAACUAUCGCGCCAAAGCUGAGAUGAAGGAGAAGUGCAGGAAAAAUGCAAAGGAUCAAAGCAACUAUAUACCCACACUGGCGGUUCGAAAAGCUUUGCACGGCGGAUGAAAGAAGAGUCGGAACAACAAGGGAGAAGAGUCGGUAGAGGAGAGUUAUGGAUCACAGUGCACAAAAAAAGAUGGCUCCUAUAUGAAUGAUGAAGCUAGAGCUAUCGGUGAAAGAAUUGAGGAGAUUGAGCAACAGGAUGAGUCAUCUAGGGUGUUGUCUCAAAAUGAUUCCAUUGCUCAGGUUUUCG